rnacentral:rRNA from 1 species
AACUUUUAACAACGGAUCUCUUGGUUCUCGCAUCGAUGAAGAACGUAGCAAAGUGCGAUAACUAGUGUGAAUUGCAUAUUCAGUGAAUCAUCGAGUCUUUGAACGCAUCUUGCA